rnacentral:misc_RNA from 1 species
GAUGAAGAACGUAGCGAAAUGCGAUAAGUAAUGUGAAUUGCAGAAUUCAGUGAAUCAUCGAAUCUUUGAACGCACCUUGCGCUCCUUGGUAUUCCAAGGAGCAUGCCUGUUUGAGUAUCAUUAAAUUAUCAACUGUGCCAAUUUGGUUACAGAUUGGAUGUGGGAGAUUCUUUUUGCAGGCCUUUGACUUCUCUUUGAGAAAAAAAAUAAAAGGUCGGCUCUCCUGAAAUGUAUUAGCAGUGCCUUUGUUGGUUCAUUAGGUGUGAUAAAUUGUCUACAUCUUCGCAUGAUACCUUCAUUUGUAAAGGUCAUAUUGCUUCUAAAUUGUCUUUGAUUGGACGCAAAACAUAUAUAAUGUUUGACAAACUUGAUCUCAAAUCAGGCAGGACUACCCGCUGAACUUAAGCAUAUCAUAAGCGGAGGA